AGCUUAUAUUCAUCGAAGGUAAGC
rnacentral:siRNA from 1 species